GUGAGUAACACGUGAGUAACCUGCCCUCCACUCUGGGAUAACUCCGAGAAAUCGGGGCUAAUACUGGAUAUGACCUUGGCCCGCAUGGGUUGUGGUGGAAAGUUUUUCGGUGCAAGAUGAGCCCGCGGCCUAUCAGCUUGUUGGUGGGGUAAUGGCCUACCAAGGCGACGACGGGUAGCCGGCCUGAGAGGGUGUACGGCCACAUUGGGACUGAGACACGGCCCAG
rnacentral:rRNA from 1 species